AUUGAACGCUGGCGGCAUGCCUUACACAUGCAAGUCGAACGGCAGCACGGGAGCAAUCCUGGUGGCGAGUGGCGAACGGGUGAGUAAUACAUCGGAACGUGCCCAAUCGUGGGGGAUAACGCAGCGAAAGCUGUGCUAAUACCGCAUAAGAUCUAUGGAUGAAAGCAGGGGACCGCAAGGCCUUGCGCGAAUGGAGCGGCCGAUGGCAGAUUAGGUAGUUGGUGAGGUAAAGGCUCACCAAGCCUUCGAUCUGUAGCUGGUCUGAGAGGACGACCAGCCACACUGGGACUGAGACACGGCCCAGACUCCUACGGGAGGCAGCAGUGGGGAAUUUUGGACAAUGGGCGCAAGCCUGAUCCAGCCAUGCCG
rnacentral:rRNA from 1 species